AGCAGCCGCGGUAAUUCCAGCUCCAAUAGCGUAUAUUAAAGUUGUUGCAGUUAAAAAGCUCGUAGUUGAAUUUCGGGGUCAGUAGGUUGGUCGUGCCACUGGUACGUACUGGUCUCACUGAUUCCUCCUUCCUGAUGAACCGUAAUGCCAUUAAUUUGGUGUUGCGGGGAAACUGGACUGUUACUUUGAAAAAUUGAGUGUUUAAAGCAAGGCUAACGCUUGAAUACAUUAGCAUGGAAUAAUGAAAUAGGACAUUCGAUCCUAUUUUGUUGGUUUCUAGGAUUGACGUAAUGAUUAAUAGGGAUAGUUGGGGCAUUAGUAUUCAAUUGUCAGAGGUGAAAUUCUUGGAUUUAUUGAAGUACUAACUACUGCGAAAGCAUUUGCCAAGGA
rnacentral:rRNA from 1 species